rnacentral:rRNA from 1 species
GGCCGCGGGAAUUCGAUUCAGGCCUAACACAUGCAAGUCGAACGAUGAAGCCGGAGCUUGCUCCGGUGGAUUAGUGGCGAACGGGUGAGUAACACGUGAGUAACCUGCCCUUGACUCUGGGAUAACUCCGAGAAAUCGGUGCUAAUACCGGAUAUGACCCUGGAAGGCAUCUUCUGGGGUGGAAAGUUUUUCGGUCAAGGAUGGACUCGCGGCCUAUCAGCUUGUUGGUGAGGUAACGGCUCACCAAGGCAACGACGGGUAGCCGGCCUGAGAGGGUGACCGGCCACACUGGGACUGAGACACGGCCCAGACUCCUACGGGAGGCAGCAGUGGGGAAUAUUGCACAAUGAGGGAAAGCCUGAUGCAGCAACGCCGCGUGAGGGAUUUUACGGUCGGGUUGUAAACCUCUUUUAGUAGGAAGAAGCGAAA